UCUUUAAAUUUUUAGGUAGUAAUAAUCAUAAAACCAAUAUAUUAUGGCGGUUUCAUUAAUAUUAGAGAAACUCGCUUUAUAAUCGAUAAUUCCCGUUAAAUUUAACUUAUUAUAUAAAAUUUAUAUACCGCCGUUAUAAGACUUUAUUCAUAAAAAUAAAAUUCAUAAAUCAAUAAACCGAAAAAUUCAGGUCAAGGUGUAAUCAAUUAAUAAGAACAAGUAAGUUACAUUAAAAACGAUUUAAGGAAGUUUUAUUAAAAUAUGUACUGAAAAAGAAUUUAUAAGUACGUUUAAAUUAAAAUUUCAAAUUGAAAAUAAUUAAUCGAAAUGU
rnacentral:rRNA from 1 species